rnacentral:rRNA from 1 species
UACGGAAGGCAGCAGUGGGGAAUAUUGCACAAUGGGCGAAAGCCUGAUGCAGCUAUGCCGCGUGUAUGAAGAAGGCCUUAGGGUUGUAAAGUACUUUCAUCGGGGAGGAAAAAACAAAACUAAUAAUUUUAUUUCUUGACGUUACCCGAAAAAGAAGCACCGGCUAACUCCGUGCCAGCAGCCGCGGUAAUACGGAGGGUGCUAGCGUUAAUCAGAAUUACUGGGCGUAAAGAGCACGUAGGUGGUUUUUUUAAGUCAGAUGUGAAAUCCCUGGGCUUAACCUAGGAACUGCAUUUUGAAACUGAAAUACUAGAGUAUCGUAGAGGGAGGUAGAAUUCUAGGUGUAGCGGUGAAAUGCGUAGAUAUCUGGAGGAAUACCUGUGGCGAAAGCGGCCUCCUAAACGAAUACUGACACUGAGGUGCAAAAGCGUGGGGAGCAAACGAGGAUUAGAUACC